CGGCACGGGUGAGUAACACGUAUCCAACCUGCCGUCUACUCUUGGACAGCCUUCUGAAAGGAAGAUUAAUACAAGAUGGCAUCAUGAGUCCGCAUGUUCACAUGAUUAAAGGUAUUCCGGUAGACGAUGGGGAUGCGUUCUAUUAGAUAGUAGGCGGGGUAACGGCCCACCUAGUCUUCGAUGGAUAGGGGUUCUGAGAGGAAGGUCCCCCACAUUGGAACUGAGACACGGUCCAA
rnacentral:rRNA from 1 species